AGUGAACGCUGGCGGUAGGCCUAACACAUGCAAGUCGAACGGCAGCACAGUGAGAGCUUGCUCUUACGGGUGGCGAGUGGCGGACGGGUGAGGAAUACAUAGGAAUCUACUUUUUCGUGGGGGAUAACGUAGGGAAACUUACGCUAAUACCGCAUACGACCUACGGGUGAGAGCAGGGGAUCUUCGGACCUUGCGCGAUUGAAUGAGCCGAUGUCGGAUUAGCUAGUUGGCGGGGUAAAGGCCCACCAAGGCGACGCUCCGUAGCUGGUCUGAGAGGAUGAUCAGCCACACUGGAACUGAGACACGGUCCAGACUCCGACGGGAGGCAGCAGUGGGGAAUAUUGGACAAUGGGCGCAAGCCUGAUCCAGCCAUACCGCGUGGGUGAAGAAGGCCUUCGGGUUGUAAAGCCCUUUUGUUGGGAAAGAAAAGCAGCAGGUUAAUACCCCGCUGUUCUGACGGUACCCAAAGAAUAAGCACCGGCUAACUUCGUG
rnacentral:rRNA from 1 species